AGAUAUGAGGGUGAUCUGGCUCUGACUAUGUCACCCCAUUGAUCUCCAAGAUUGAUUCAGCUGAUCUGGUUGGCUAGGCAGGUGUCCCCUUCCUUCCUCACCGCUCCACGUGGUUCCGUCCCAAAGCUGACACUAAAACACUGGUUGAAGAGGGGUUCACUGGUUGAAGAUUGAACCCUGGGACCUUUUCCGUGCAAAG